GCCGAUGUAGCUCAGUUGGUCAGAGCAGCUGAUUUGUAAUCAGCAGGUCGGGGGUUCGAAUCCCUCUAUCGGCUCCA
rnacentral:tRNA from 1 species